rnacentral:rRNA from 2 species
GGACGUUUACCACGGUGUGGUUCAUGACUGGGGUGAAGUCGUAACAAGGUAGCCGUAGGGGAACCUGCGGCUGGAUCACCUCCUUACA